rnacentral:ncRNA from 2 species
GACAGCACCAAGGGGAGUCCCGACAAGGGGCUGAGAUACCGCUGGCACUUCGCGCGCGGUGACCCUUCGAACCUGAUCCGGAUCAUGCCGGCGAAGGGAUGGGAACGGAAACCUGC